GGAUGAGAGGGUGAUCUGACAGGGACAGCUGUCAUCAGUCAUCCUGUUGACCUUCGGGGUUAAUUCACCUGAUCUGGCUGGCUGACUAAGGGUCAUCUCCAUUCGCCCUCACUACCCCAUGGGCAUCCCUUUUGAAACUCCUUGAAUGAUAAUAAAAAAAAAAAUGAAAAGAGAGCCCUUCUUUCAUCAGGAAUGACAAUUAAUUCUUUCAACAAAUGUAUAUUGAGCUUCUCCUACGUAGCAAACAUUGUCUAAUAU
ensembl:misc_RNA 7SK 7SK RNA